GGCGAACGCUGGCGGCGUGCUUAACACAUGCAAGUCGAGCGGUAAGGCCCUUUCGGGGGUACACGAGCGGCGAACGGGUGAGUAACACGUGGGUGACCUGCCCUCAGCUCUGGGAUAAGCCUGGGAAGCCGGGUCUAAUACUGGAUAUGACUCCAUGACGCAUGUUGUGGGGUGGAAAGCCUUGUGCGGCUGAGGAUGGGCCCGCGGCCUAUCAGCUUGUUGGUGGGGNGAUGGCCUACCAAGGCGACGACGGGUAGCCGGCCUGAGAGGGCGACCGGCCACACUGGGUCUGAGACACGGCCCAGACUCCUACGGGAGGCAGCAGUGGGGAAUCUUGCGCAAUGGGCGAAAGCCUGACGCAGCGACGCCGCGUGAGGGAUGACGGCCUGG
rnacentral:rRNA from 1 species